rnacentral:rRNA from 1 species
CACCGGCGGCUCGAGUGGUGGCCACUUUUGUUGGGUCUAAAGCGUCCGUAGCCGGCUUGGCAAGUCCCCUGGGAAAUCUGGCGGCUUAACCGUCAGGCGUCCAGAGGAUACUGCCAGGCUUGGGACCGGGAGAGGUGAGAGGUACCUCAGGGGUAGGGGUGAAAUCUUGUGAUCCCUGAGGGACCACCAGUGGCGAAGGCGUCUCACUAGAACGGGUCCGACGGUCAGGGACGAAAGCUGGGGGCACGAACCGG